rnacentral:rRNA from 1 species
UACGUAGGGGGCUAGCGUUGUCCGGAAUCAUUGGGCGUAAAGAGCGUGUAGGCGGUCCGGUAAGUCCGCUGUGAAAGUCGGGGGGCUCAACCCUCGAAUGCCGGUGGAUACUGUCGGGCUAGAGUCCGGAAGGGGCGAGUGGAAUUCCUGGUGUAGCGGUGAAAUGCGCAGAUAUCAGGAGGAACACCAAUGGCGAAGGCGGCUUUCUGGGUCUUACCUGACGCUGAGGAACGAAAGCCAGGGGAGCGAACGGG